rnacentral:lncRNA from 1 species
GUGUUUUUGCUUUUCCAUAGUCUGAGAGAGCUUGUGAAAGACCAGAGCAGGAACCCAUGCUACAGGAUACCCUUGUGAGGACAGAGAUGGCUUCCCCUCAUGGGCUACUAAUCUGCUCGAGGUGUUGCUCACUUUCUGCAACCAGAACAUCACGUGACCCUGUGUGCACGCUGAGGGUUUUCCACAUCAAAAGCUCUUCUCUCUCUUAUUGUAGGCAAACACUAGGUUCAAACUUUUUGUUCUAACUUAUUUUGCUCAGCUUCGAAUACCAUUCACUUCAAAGAAGUCAAUUUUACAUCAAAACUCCUUAGUGUCUUUGCAUUUCUAUUUUAGAUUCAUCUGUGGGUUUUUGCUCAAACUAUGUGACAAGAAAAGCUAGUCUGACCCAUAUGAGAGGCAGAAUCGAAAAACAUCUUAUAGUCUCUGAUGAUUAAAUUAAAGCCUUUGAUUAGGAACAAAUAUGCUAGUUGGUUUAAAAGAACCAAAAAAGUUGAGUUUAUACAUUUGAAAUUAACAUUUGUCUCAAAUCCUGUUGAUCUUCCAACCUUGUUUGUGCUAAAUAUGGAUCUAUCUUCAAGUUAAUGCAUAAUUUUAUACUCUGUGGACUUAAAUUAAAUUCCAAAUAGCUUCAAAAGCUAAAUCUAAUUGUAAAAAUGAAAAGAAGACACAUAUCAAAGAUUUAAUUUUUAAAGUUGAUAUCUUCAUAGCAUCUUAAACCCAUUUAAAACUGUUAGCUUAUUCCUUAUUUGACCUCUCAACAAUUAAAAAACUUGAUGUGCUGGAAGAGUUACAUUUGUGAGAGAAAAGUUAUGCACUGCUAAGUUUCCCCAUCCAGAAUACUUUAAAAAUGUUCUGUAAUUUAUUAUACUCACACUUUAUUCCACAGUGUACCAUUUAUUCUUAUGAAAUGCAAAAUGAAUACAUAAAUACUUUAAAUUGUAAUCUUCAGAAAACAACAAUUAUAGCUGAACUAAAACUUAAUUAUAAGUAUUACUCAUAGUGGCUUGUGGUGUGGGCAUUUCCAAUAUUAACUAUUUUUCAUUAGCCUGUAGUAUGGAAUAUUUGAACAGAACUAUCCUCAGUUGAAUUUUUUUCCCUUAAAUAUAUGCUGAAAUUCUUAUCCCAAGCACCUCAGAAUGUGCAAUUCUUUGGAAAUAAAGUAAUUGCAGAUAUAAUUAUGUAAAAUAAUCCCGGAAUAGAGUGUGUGCCUAAUGCACUGUGAUGGAUGUCCUCAGAUUGUAAUGUGGAUACACACACACACACACAUUCUCUCUCACACACACACAGACACACACACAUAUACACACACAAAAUCGUAUUAAUAUGGAGAAAUGCAUAUUAAGUGAAGGAAUGAAAAAUAUUCUAAGCAAUCCACCAGGAACUAGGAAGAGAAGGGUAUUCCCCUGGAUGGCUUGGAGACAGCACAACAUUGCAAUACAUUAAUUUUAGACUCUUGUUCUGCAGAAUAAGGCAACAAUAAAGUUCAGUUGUUUCAAGCUACUCAAAUUGUGGCAUUUCAUUAUAGCACCUCUAGAAAUCUGUAAUGACCACAAAAUAUUAGUGAACUUUUAAUUUAAUACUCUGUAUUCCCAUGUCCCUUGUCACAAUUUAUGUUAAUAUUUUCCAUUCUCUCCUGAAAAGAAUGUGUUCUUGAUCAGAGUAAAGAUUGAUUUUAUUCCUCAUAAUUAAUAAAUAAAGGAUCCCAAAUAUUUAUCCAGUAACUAUUUAAAUAGCUGCAUGGUAUUUCAAGCCUCAACAAUGGACAGUAUACAUAAUAUCAUUUUCAAAACUAUUAAUUUCUGAGCAGAAAUUUAGGAAGAUAAAGAACAGUCAAUGGGAAUAUUUAUUUCACAUAUAGGCCACAUUGGCAAACCAUCAGCAGUUACUUAAAUGUGUCAGCGUUCCUACCUGGUGUUGACAUGAGUAAGAGGAUCAGAGUAAAAAGAUUUAGGUAAUGUUGAAUAAAUUCAUGGUCUUAGUCAUUGGUAUUGUAUAAUCCAUAGGAGAAGAGUAAGGAGAAUGGAUUUUUAAAAGAUAUCUAUAUAGCAUGGCUAUACAUGUAAAUGUGUCUAUGAGGUACUAAACAGAGAUUUAAAUGUUUAUUCUAACAUGUAAUCUAUGUCUUAUGUUUUCCUUUCUUGUUAACAUAAAUGGAGAAAGAAAUUACCCAAACUAGGAUAUUAGAAUUUUAGGACAAUUUCUAAAUGAUAUGGAAUAACUAAACCAAGAUAAAGAACU